rnacentral:lncRNA from 1 species
AAGAUCUCAUUUAUUCUACAAAAAUAACGUUCGUAACUUAGAAUAACAACACCUGAGCGCCUGACUGUAUCUGUAGCUGGGCCGGAAUGAAUACCGAAUAUUUUUGGGUCAACAUUCCUUCUCGUUUUUUUAUAGAAUGAUAGACUCAUGAUCGGUCAAUAUGUUACCAUGUUUGGGGAUGUCAUCUCUCACGUAAAUAUAACGGCAGUAAAGUCGGAAGACGGUGGAGACUAUGAAUGUAGAGCUCUCUCAAAAGCUGGGGUGGCAUCGCACUCUGCUCGUCUCAACAUCUAUGGUAAGAUUUCUUUUGCCAUCUACAAACAAAUAAUAAAAAUAUAAAACUCUUUUGGACAGGAAUGCCGUAUAUACGUCAUAUGCCAAAGCUUUCGGCAGUUGCUGGAAAGGUUUUUACUCUCAAGUGUCCCAUAGCUGGAUACCCUAUCGAGACGGUUAACAUUGAAAAAGGUAAGAUUUUGUAAAAGUUUCCACUCGUUUCACAACGUUCCAACUCGUUUUAUUUGCAGACGGUAUAAGGUUACCCAUCAAUAUAUGACAGCGUAUGCAAAACGGAACCCUAACCAUUGAAAACGUGCAACGUAAUGCGGAUCAGGGCACCUACACUUGUAUAGCUCGAAACAAGCACAACUACACCUCUCAGCGGUCAGUUGAAGUUCAAGUUUUAGGUACGUUGCUUUGAGUUUACUAAAUACAGAGAGUGUUAUUUAUUUCUCCGAUUUUGUAUACGCAUACAAGUAAGAGUUUCCGUCGAGAGUUAUCAGGUUCACAACCUUGUUUUGAGGUGUAAAUAGUAAUUAAUUAAUAAUCCGGCUUAGAAACCGAGUUCUACGACUCCUUGGCUAAUGGCUAAGAAAAAUAAGCUUAGCCAUCUUUGAGUGGGCUUCGACUAUUUUGUGGAUUUAGGCGACUUUUUAACUCUCUUAACAGAAAAUAGGUAUUUUUGUAACUUUUUAUCACAGUGGGUGGUGGUGACCAGUCUAGCAGAAAAAAGUUUAGCUACUAAGGUUUUAAAUAUAACAUUAAUAAUUGCUUCUUAACCAGCAACUAGGCUAGUGCCUGUCUGUCCGUUCGUUUUGAUGAGCGCUUGGAUUUCUGAGACUAUAAAUGCUACAGCAAAAAUACUUGUUAUGCAGACUGCUGCAAUAUCAGACUACUGUUCCAAUUUUAUUUACAAAUUGUCCAUGGGAUAAAGUAGUUUUACAAAAUAUUCAUUCGAUAAAAUCUCUAAACUCUUGCUUCGCUUUGAGAUCUGCAAGUUGAUCAGAACUCUUUCUUGUUGGUUAACCCGCCUGAAAUGGUUUUCAGGAGACUUUAUUUUAAUAAUGUAAGUGAAAUACAUUUCAGCAAACAAGGAGUCGAAUAAGUUGUGGAUUAAUGCCGGUCUCCUAAUUGUAUGAACCUGGUGAUAUAUUUAGUGUUUGAACACACUUCAAUGUGUGAUGGCGUCUGCACUUACAUGUCCCUUACUCUAUCAUUGGUGUUGACACUCUACUGAAAAUAAAACCUAGGCAAAAUUAUAGAAUCUUUACGCAUGAAGCACGUUUUUUGUAUAUUUUUUAUAUAAUUAACAAUCGAAUAAAUUCUAUUCACUAUUAUUGGAUGUCAAAUAACCCUAUUCGGGCAAACUAAGACAUGCGUUUGUCAUGGAUAAUAUUUUUUGUGUCCACUUAUUUGCUACUUUUGCAAAUUCUUUUAUAAUAUAAGGCAAUUGCCUGCACUAUUAUAUCGUCUGCACUGCACCAAUAACUGCACAAAUUACGCAUGGAAAAGGCGACAAUUAAGCCGCCUCAUCGACAGUUGUGCGGACAUAAAACGUUUUUGAGCUCGGAAAGGACAAGCCAACUGGGAUUAUUUUCAUUAUUGGGCUUUGAGUUUUGGUCAGUUGAUCAUCCUGGUAAUCGUGUUCAUAGGAUGUUUUAGGCAAAUUCACAAUUAUUUUGUAAGAUAUGCAGCAGCAUAUGCAGCUGUUCAUAGCACACAUAAAACACGAAAUUUGGGAGGACAAACUGACCAAUUCACUACAAAUGCUGCCGUUAGCCUCACCACAGGUGUGAAUUUUUGACUCUAAGUAUACAAUUUGUAAACCAACACAUCUUACAUACGUAUGUAUGUGCAUACAUUGUGUAUAAAACACAUUUACAUAUAUCAAUUCGUACAUCCGAAUAUAAACAUACAUAGACGUACGAUGCUUUUGAGUCUCUAUAAAUUAUGUUAAAUCUGCUGUCUUUAAAAAUGGUUUUUAAAAAUUAAACACGCAGUUCCGCCCAAGAUUACACCAUUCUCAUUCGCACGCGAUCUGAAUGUCGGCGAUCGUACAAGCAUUCAGUGCGUUAUUGGCACCGGGGACCUGCCGCUUUCAUUCACGUGGCUAAAGGACGGGCAACUUCUGCAAGCGACCGCCUCAUCCGAUGGUGUUAGCGGUGGGCUUAGUGGUACCGGUGGCGCUGCUGUUUUGAGUUCUGGCUUUGUAUCAACCUCAUCCAUCUCCUCCUCCUCACCGACAACUUUUCAACAACAAUAUGAACACGUCGUUUCGAAUGAAAAUGGUCGUAGCGGUGGUGAAGGUAGUGGCCUAGUGACAAUUCGCCAGAAUGAUGAUUUCACCAGUGCCCUUAGCAUCACAAGUGUGACGUGGGCCCAAAGCGGCACGUACACAUGUCGCGUUCAAAACGACGCCGCAACUGUAACGCACUCUGCACAGCUAAAAGUUAAUGGUAUUUGCAUUGAAUAACUUACACAUCAUUUAUAGCUUACCUAUUUUCGUAUUUGAUUGUAAGCACUUUUACUCCGAUUCGUUAUGUUAUUUUAUAUUUUCUGUAUUAUAAAAAAGUAAAACGUGGAUGUGAUUAAAAUAAUUACAAGAAAAUAUUUGCCUAAU